UUCUCAUAUAUUUUAAGCACUUUUAUUUUUAGAUUUUGAGCUCAAAAGAUUUAAUCUCUGUACACAUUCACAUAGUUUUUCGCGAAUAUACUUAUAUUUCGUAUUAUUCACAUAUACACAUAACAAAGGUACUUGUUUAUUGUGGCUUUGGUUAAGAAAAUUGCCCAUGUUUUACUUGCUGAAAUAGUAUUACGAGCAUUUGGCACAAGUCUUUGGUUUUGUUUCUUGAAGCAAUGGAAAUGAGCUUCGAUUGGCGACUAGUGCACUUGUAAUUCUGCCUUUGUGCUUGUGACGAUGACUAUUUACUUUGCGAAAAAUCAAUAUAUGAUUGUUGGAUGGUCAACUCAGAGCGCAAUUUCCUAAUUGCUAAGUAAACAUUCUGAGAAGCUAACAGCUGUUCACUCUCCACCUGAAGUUCGUGUGCUGUUCGCUCUUUCUCAACUCUAUGUUUGGUUUUGCAACGAACGUCUGACUUGAGAAACAUUGAAAUGUGGCAAAUGCUGUAGGAUUGAGGAAGUGUAAUUUACAACCUCUAUUUAAUAAACAGUCGGUGUCUGAUAAUUCCGCAGAGAGAUUGAGACGGACGAGGGAGAAAAGUUUAACUUUUAACUUUCAAAUUAUAAAAUAUAUUUUGUACUCAUGUCAGGUGAGGCUCUCGACCUGAUUGUUCUAAAAUAUGUCGAUUAUGUUAAAAUUGUAUAAGCGAUAAUUACAAUUCUGUAGUUACUCUCUUACAAACUUUCAAUAAUAUAUGGGAUUUUUUUCUAACCGUUAA